rnacentral:rRNA from 1 species
AGCGAGUCUGAAUAGGGCGAAUGAGUAUUUGGUCGUAGACCCGAAACCAGGUGAUCUACCCUUGGUCAGGUUGAAGUUCAGGUAACACUGAAUGGAGGACCGAACCGACUUACGUUGAAAAGUGAGCGGAUGAACUGAGGGUAGCGGAGAAAUUCCAAUCGAACUUGGAGAUAGCUGGUUCUCUCCGAAAUAGCUUUAGGGCUAGCCUCAAGUGAUGAUUAUUGGAGGUAGAGCACUGUUUGGACGAGGGGCCCCUCUCGGGUUACCGAAUUCAGACAAACUCCGAAUGCCAAAUAAUUUAACUUGGGAGUCAGAAUGUGGGUGAUAAGGUCCAUAUUCGAAAGGGAAACAGCCCAGACCACCAGCUAAGGUCCCAAAAUAUAUGUUAAGUGGAAAAGGAUGUGGCGUUGCCCAGACAACUAGGAUGUUGGCUUAGAAGCAGCCAUCAUUUAAAGAGUGCGUAAUAGCUCACUAGUCGAGUGACACUGCGCCGAAAAUGUACCGGGGCUAAACAUAUUACCGAAGCUGUGGAUUGUCCUUUGGACAAUGGUAGGAGAGCGUUCUAAGGGCGUUGAAGCAUGAUCGCAAGGACAUGUGGAGCGCUUAGAAGUGAGAAUGCCGGUGUGAGUAGCGAAAGACGGGUGAGAAUCCCGUCCACCGAUUGACUAAGGUUUCCAGAGGAAGGCUCGUCCGCUCUGGGUUAGUCGGGUCCUAAGCUGAGGCCGACAGGCGUAGGCGAUGGAUAACAGGUUGAUAUUCCUGUACCACCAUUAUUCGUUUUAAGCGAUGGGGGGACGCAGUAGGAUAGGCGAAGCGUGCUGUUGGAGUGCACGUCCAAGCAGUGAGAUUGAGUGUUAGGCAAAUCCGGCACUCUUAAGAUUGAGCUGUGAUGGGGAGAGGAACUUGUUCCUCGAGUCGUUGAUUUCACACUGCCGAGAAAAGCCUCUAGCUAGAAUAACGGUGCCCGUACCGCAAACCGACACAGGUAGUCAAGAUGAGAAUUCUAAGGUGAGCGAGCGAACUCUCGUUAAGGAACUCGGCAAAAUGACCCCGUAACUUCGGGAGAAGGGGUGCUCUUUGAGGUUCACGCUUCGAAGAGCCGCAGUGAAUAGGCCCAAGCGACUGUUUAUCAAAAACACAGGUCUCUGCUAAACCGUAAGGUGACGUAUAGGGGCUGACGCCUGCCCGGUGCUGGAAGGUUAAGAGGAGUGGUUAGCGCAAGCGAAGCUACGAAUCGAAGCCCCAGUAAACGGCGGCCGUAACUAUAACGGUCCUAAGGUAGCGAAAUUCCUUGUCGGGUAAGUUCCGACCCGCACGAAAGGCGUAACGAUUUGGGCACUGUCUCAACGAGAGACUCGGUGAAAUCAUAGUACCGGUGAAGAUGCCGGUUACCCGCGACAGGACGGAAAGACCCCGUGGAGCUUUACUGUAGCCUGAUAUUGAAAUUCGGUACAGUUUGUACAGGAUAGGUAGGAGCCUUAGAAGCGUGAGCGCUAGCUUACGUGGAGGCAUUGGUGGGAUACUACCCUAAUUGUAUUGGAUUUCUAACCCGCAGCACUUA